GACGAACGCUGGCGGCGCGCCUAACACAUGCAAGUCGAACGGACUUUAUGGAAACUGAGGCUUCGGCGGACGAAGAAAUAAAGUUAGUGGCGAACGGGUGAGUAACACGUGAGGAACCUACCUCUCAGAGGGGGAUAACACUUAGAAAUAGGUGCUAAUACCGCAUAAGACCACGACCGGGCAUCCGGAUGGGGUCAAAGGAGCAAUCCGCUGAAAGAUGGUCUCGCGUCCCAUUAGUUAGUUGGUGAGGUAACGGCUCACCAAGACUUCGAUGGGUAGCCGGCCUGAGAGGGUGAACGGCCACACUGGAACUGAGACACGGUCCAG
rnacentral:rRNA from 1 species